UUUUAUACUUCUUUCUUUUUGUAUUUACUGUCCCAGCUGCGAAAGUGGCUUGGAACUACACGCUCUUUCACGAAGACAACCAAAGUUGUCAUAAAAUACAGCUUCAACUUGAUGCACAAAUGUGAUGGUCUUUACAUUUCUUGCACUGAAGGGGCAGUGAAUUCGUAAGUGGAAGGGCUACUCAGG
rnacentral:ncRNA from 1 species